CCAGGGGUGGCAGAGUGGUCAAAUGCACCUGGCUGUAAACCAGGCGCCCUUGUGGCUACGCAGGUUCGAAUCCUGCCCCCUGGA
rnacentral:tRNA from 1 species